rnacentral:rRNA from 1 species
UGGGGAAUAUUGCACAAUGGGCGCAAGCCUGAUGCAGCCAUGCCGCGUGUGUGAAGAAGGCCUUCGGGUUGUAAAGCACUUUCAGCGGGGAGGAAGGCGAUAAGGUUAAUAACCUUGUCGAUUGACGUUACCCGCAGAAGAAGCACCGGCUAACUCCGUGCCAGCAGCCGCGGUAAUACGGAGGGUGCAAGCGUUAAUCGGAAUUACUGGGCAUAAAGCGCACGCAGGCGGUCUGUCAAGUCGGAUGUGAAAUCCCCGGGCUCAACCUGGGAACUGCAUUCGAAACUGGCAGGCUAGAGUCUUGUAGAGGGGGGUAGAAUUCCAGGUGUAGCGGUGAAAUGCGUAGAGAUCUGGAGGAAUACCGGUGGCGAAGGCGGCCCCCUGGACAAAGACUGACGCUCAGGUGCGAAAGCGUGGGGAGCAAACAGG